rnacentral:rRNA from 1 species
GAAAGCUCCGAGAUCGAAAGCUCCGGCGCCAGAGGAUGGGUCUGCGGCCUAUCAGGUAGUAGUGGGUGUAGCGUACCUACUAGCCUACGACGGGUACGGGUUGUGAGAGCAAGAGCCCGGAGAUGGAUUCUGAGACACGAAUCCAGGCCCUACGGGGUGCAGAAGGCGCGAAAACUUUACAAUGCCGGAAACGGCGAUAAGGGGACCUCGAGUGCCAAGUUACAAAUCUGGCUGUCGUGAUGCCUUAAAAGCAUUGCAUAGCAAGGGCCGGGCAAGACCGGUGCCAGCCGCCUCGGUAACACCGGCGGCUCGAGUGGUAACCGUUAUUAUUGGGUCUAACGGGUCUGUAGCCGGCCGGAUAAGUCUCUUGAGAAAUCCAGCAGCUCAACUGUUGGGCUUUCAGGAGAUACUGUCUGGCUCGAGGCCGGGAGAGGUGAGAAGUACUUCAGGGGUAAGGGUUGAAUUCUUGUAAUCCUUGAAGGACCACCAGUGGCGAAGGCGUCUCACCAGAACGGACCUGACGGCAAGGGACGAAAGCUAGGGGCACGAACCGGAUUAGAUACCCGGGUAGU